AGUCACUGGUGGGAUUAAGGAAGAAGUAUGUCACCGCUAGGAUUAUGGAGCAGUGAGUGCUUGGAGGAGAUGAAUACACAAGAAUAGCCACACCCAGUAUACUGUAACUGUGACUCAGCCUUGCAUUCCUCCAAUGUGGUGAAGUUAUUGGCCUAAUUUUGCAAAGGCUCUGAGAACUAUGCACCUCAACAUGAAAGCAGCUGCAUCUGUAGAAGAUUGUGUGUGAACACAUCCUACUAACAGUGUCAAGCUGAUGCUGUGCUUUGUCGUCUAAAGGUGGACAUGACUAAGCAUCUGCACUGAAGCUGCUAAGAACUUUUAGACUAGGUGGCAUCACAGUGACAUGUGGCUGUUACUAAGAAAACCAUAUGUAAGCCUUUUAUAAGUAUAUAAACACUGUUAUAAUCAGAUUAGAAUAAUUUGAUCUAUUCUCAAAAUACCUCUUAUGUGUUAAUUUUAGUUCAAUUAUCUUGAAACAAUUUGCUAACAAGAAAUAUUUAGCAGAUCCCAUAGACCUGCCUGUGGGCCCAUCAGACUAUUUUGCUGCAAGCAAAAUACUUUGCAUUUCUAAUAAUAUCAGCAGGAAGCUUUGGUAUGGCUGGGCGUAUUUCAGUAGGCAUUUACCAACAGAACUUUCUCUAAGGUUUCACAAUAGGCUUUUUUUUUCAUUAUUCAAUUCUGCCAUGUUUUUUCUCUCACAUUUCCAGUCAUGAUAUACUUAAAUGGUAAUGUGCCUUAACUACUGGUGAGGGCUUCAAUCUAUUGUUGAAAUGGUUUUGAUAGUUCCUCUUGUAUUUUUAAACAUGCUGCCUGGAAUGACAUAAAAAUAAUUGCGUUUUCUGAAAAAAUGUUUUUUAUUAUUUUUGAACAAAGUAUCUACAGUGAUGUGGUGACACCAUAAUUUUCACAUAUUUUAAGACAUCUGUCUACAGAGAAUGUCAGUUUAAGUGCAAUAUGAUACUGUAAUACAAUGAAAAGAACUUUAAUCAAAUCCAUGCAUUACAUAUUAACAGUUUUACCAAAAAGGAAGCAUUUGAGAUGAAAUUGUCAUUGGAUGUUACUAGACAGAAUUCACAGGCGAAUGUUUAAAACUCACAGACAAGUUAUUAAUACACUAUAUAUUUUUAGUUUUUUCCCCCUCUGUAUCCUUUGAAAAUCUGGGGUCACUAGCACACAAAAUAUAUAUAUUAUGUUAAAACUUUGUGGCAAAAGCUUAUGGCACAAUUUCCUCUAAUACAGCUCACAAUUACACAUUCCUGGAACGUCAGUAACUACUUCAGUCCAUUUUGUCUAUCAACAUCACUCUGUUAUGCAAUAAAAUAUAAACAUAAUAAAUGUUUCUUGCAUAUUUCACAAAGAUAAAAGUGAAGAAGUGCAGUAAUAUUCAAGAAUGUCAAGAAUACAGGAUAAGCCAACAUUUUUCUGGCAUUUAACCCACUGCUUCUAGCAAUCUAACCUGCUUCCACAAGCCUUCCAAACUGUAUGUCAGUAACUACUGUAGGUGAUGUGUAUUGCCUGAAGGCACCUUCUCCAUAACCACUUAAAACUAAAACACCUAUUUUAUUAUUAACAAGAAGCUUAGCUUGUGAUUUAUAUAUAUUUUUUUUCUUAUUAGUUUUCUCGAAAAG